rfam:Lepisosteus oculatus linkage group LG3, whole genome shotgun sequence.
AUCUUUGGUUAUCUAGCUGUAUGAGUGUUAUUCAGCCGUCAUAAAGCUAGAUAACCGAAAGU